GCCGCGGUGGCGAAACCGGCAGACGCGUACGACUCAAAAUCGUAUGGAGGCAACUCCAUGAGAGUUCGAUUCUCUCCCGCGGCACCA
rnacentral:tRNA from 2 species